AACGGUCCCGAAGGGUCCUCACCGCCUCCCGGGUGCCUGGAGGGAAGGUGUCUCGAGGGGCGGAGCCCGGGGAGGAUCGCACGUGGCCUGGGCCCCCCAGGGGCGCGCGGCGGGGCCCCGCUGUGAGGGUGGGCAGGGCUUUCCCGGCAGACCUGGAGAGGAGGCGCCGACCCAGCGUGGGCCGGAGGAUCCCCGCAAAAUGACCUUGGUGACGGUGGGGAUGCAGCGCGCGGCGUCAGGUGCGCAUGAAUCUGCAGAGGUGACUUCCAAGUUUGCGUGAAUCCAGGUAUGUGGCUUGUGAGUGUGUGGAAAUCUGCGUGGGAUAUCUGGAAACGUGCCUAAGUGUGUGUUCAUGGAAACAUCUGCUUCUGUGACUUCCAAGGGUGUGUAAUUUUUGAGUCACGCCGAGUGUGUGACUCCUGUGUGUGGCGCCUGAGGCAGAGCAUGACACCCAUGGAUCUGGAGGUUCUGAGUGGCAAGGCACAUCCAAGCAAGUGUGUAACGGGCUACAGGCACAUGAAGCUUCCAAAUCAAGGCUAGGGAGCCUGCUACCUCUCAGGGAGGGCGUGUGACAACCCCAGGGUGUGCUUCAUGUCGGGGUGCAUGAGGACAGCAGACAUGAGGGUGUGUGACAGCCAAGGGACGCUGCAGGACAUGAACCACGUGUGCAUCACCUUCAACAAGCACUGGUAUCUGCUCAGCAGUCACCUUUGGGAGCAGCCCGGCCUUCUGGACACAGAUCAACACCUCCCACGCCAAUUCCCGAGGCCAUAAGAGGGCACAGGGUGCUAAUCAAUCAAGGUGUGUACCACCUCUUCUCUAUCUGGUGACAGUGGUAUGGUAUUGAUCCUGACGUUCCUUCCCACUGAGCCCACAACUCACCUGUGCCCUUCACCUGGAAGUCAGUGCGGCGCUGCAGCGUGGAUGGCAGCUCGUUCAGCCGGAGACUCAGCUGCCGUUUGAAAGCACCAGCCACAAUCCACCAAGCUGCCUUCACAAGCCCUUAACUGGCCUGGAUGCACAAUCCGAAAUGCCUCCCAGCCUCCCAGCCUCCCUGAGUUAGCAGAUAAUGAAGCUCUGGUGAGCUCUGCUGUGAUCUGCGGCCUGCAGAAUAUUCCCCAAAGAACUCCUCACACCGAAGUGAGCUUUAUAAACUAUAAUCCAACCUCGUGCCUGGUGCUCUGCUUUGUAAGCUGCCCAGUCCCCGUGUCUCUGCACCUCUCUUCCUAGACAGGAUCUCCAGUCCCGCCGGGGGCCGCUCGCUCUGUGCCCAGCCCUGCCCUCUGGGUCGCACCCACCUUUCUUUUUCUCGGGCGCCUCUCGCUCAGUGGGCCGCCCACCCCCCGACAGACGGAAGGAGCCCUCACGGGCGAAGCUGGUGCGGCUGGCAUCGAAGGCGGCUGUGACCCCACAUUCCUUCUCCCGGCGCUGUUUCCGCUCCAGGCAGGCCGCGAAGGCACAGCCCACAGCGUGGCUCAGCCUCUCGCCCUGUGGGAAGAAGAGGUCAGGCUGGGUUUGGAGAGGCUGUGUCAUGCAGGCCGGACGCCAGAAGCCCUGGGUGCCAGCAGCUCAAUGUUGGGUGAUCCUAGACAAGUCCCCCACCCCCACGGCUGGGCCUCAGUGUGCAUCAGGAAGCAAACAAAUGACAGCUUGGAGUGAAAAAAGCCAGAAACAAGAGGGCAGUGCUGUAUGGCUCCAUUUGUAUGAAGUUCUAGAAGCAGCAAAACAAAUCUAUGGUGAAGAAAGUCGGAGGAGUGGCUGUUUCUUAGUGGGUGGGGGUGGGGACUAACGAGGAAGGGGCAGGGGGCUGGCUGGGGUGCAGGUAAUGUUCUAGGUCUUGAUGGGGGCUGGGGUUACACGGAGAUAUGCAGUUGUUAACAUACGUGGGUCUGCGCAUGGCACUUAUUUUAACUUGAAAGAAAAUGAGCUGAAGCGGAUUAAUUCUACUUCAUGGUAUGCACACUGAAAUGUCUGGGGGAAACAUCUGAUAUCUGCAACUCAGAAAUGCAUCAAAAGUGAGAUGGACAGAUAACUGACAGAGUAAGUGCAGACAAACCUAAUGGCAGGAGCAGGGCGGUGGGCAUGCAGGUGACUGGUUACUGUACAAGUCGGCUUUGCUGCGUGCUUGAAAACAUUUGUUAUAAAAUGCUGGGGAUGAAAACAGCGGCACCUGUUUCUUCUUGAGUGCCUACUUCAGAGGAUCCAAGGUCACACUGAUGCUGGCCACUACUCCCCAGCUGUGUGUUCUCCAGAAAUCCACUUUGCCUCUUGGUGCCUAAGCCUUCUUGUAAAAUGUGGGCCCUAACAACUUCACUUAACAGGGUUGUUGCAAGAAUUAGGUAAAUUUGGAGCACCUGGGUGGCUCAGUCAGUUAAGCAGCUGGCUUUGGCUCAGGUCACCAUCCCAGGAUCCUGGGAUCGAGCCCCAAAUCUGGCUUCUGUUUCCUACCAAGAUGCUCAGCCACCUUUUAAAGAGAAACUUGGAGACAAAAGUCCUCAACAAAAUACUAACAAGCUGAACUCACCAGCACAGGAAAAGGGUUAUGCACCAUAAUCAAGUGAGAUUUAUCCCAGGAAUGCAAGGUUGGCUCAACAUAUGAGAAUCAAUCAGUUGUUAUAUGCCACAUUAACAGAAAGAUGGAAAAAAAGCCACACGAUCAUCUUCACGAAUGCCAAAAAAGUACUUGACAAAAUCCAGCUCCCUUUCAUGAUAAAAGAAAGUUUAGCAAAUAUGGAAUAGAAGGGAACUUCCUCAAUGUGAUAAAGAAGUUGAUAAAAAAAAAACUCAUGGCUAACAUCAUACUCUAUGGUGAAGGAGUGGAAGCCUUUCCC